AUUGGAGGGCAAGUCUGGUGCCAGCAGCCGCGGUAAUUCCAGCUCCAAUAGCGUAUAUUAAAGUUGUUGCGGUUAAAACGUUCGUAGUUGAAUUUGUGUCCCACACGGGUAAUGCACCCAAGUGCGGGUUUUGCAUUACUUGUUGCUCUGUGCGUUUUGUGUAAAAACAAACGUAUAGUGUGACUUUAAGUGUGACGGAUGUUUUACCGGUGAGGGAAACGACUAAUUAUGCCCCUAUAUUGGCUUUCGGGUUAUAUAUUGGUCAAGCAUAUUAAUACGCCCCUUAUGUUAAAAGACCCAUUUUAGUGCUCUUUACCGAGUGCUAUUGUGGGCCGGUACAAUUACUUUGAACAAAUUAGAGUGCUUAAAGCAGGCUAAAUUUAAUGAAAAUUAAAACGCCUGAAUAUAUUUUGCAUGGAAUAAUGGAAUAUGACCUCUGGUCUAUUUGAUUGGUUUUUAGAUGCCAAGAGGUAAUGAUUAAUAGAAGCAGUUGGGGGCAUUAGUAUUACGAGGCGAGAGGUGAAAUUCGUAGACCCUCGAAAGACUGACUUAAGCGAAAGCAUUUGCCAAGGAUGUUUUCAUUAAUCAAGAACGAAAGUUAGAGGAUCGAAGGCGAUCAGAUACCGCCCUAGUUCUAACCAUAAACGAUGCCAGCUAGCAAUUGAAUGUAGCUACUUAUUUCAGGCUCAUUCAGUCGCUUUCCGGGAAACCAAAGCUUUAGGGCUCCGGGGGAAGUAUGGUUGCAAAGCUGAAACUUAAAGGAAUUGACGGAAGGGCACCACCAGGAGUUGGAGCCUGCGGCUUAAUUUGACUCAACACGGGAAAACUUACCAGGUCCGAACAUAAAUGAGUAAGACAGAUUGAUAGCUCUUUCUCGAAUCUAUGGGUGGUGGUG
rnacentral:rRNA from 1 species